rnacentral:rRNA from 1 species
UACGGAGGGUGCGAGCGUUUGUCCGGAAUUAUUGGGCGUAAAGGGCGCGUAGGCGGCUGUACAAGUCAAAGGUGAAAUCCCUCGGCUCAACUGAGGAACUGCCUUUGAAACUGUACGCUUGAGGCCGGGAGGGGGUAGCGGAAUUCCCAGUGUAGCGGUGAAAUGCGUAGAUACUGGGAGGAACACCAGUGGCGAAGGCGGCUACCUGGACCGGUUCUGACGCUGAGGCGCGAAAAGCGUGGGUAGCAAACAGG